AUGAAGCUAUUGAUAGGAAGGCAGAUGAGUUCAUUGCGAAGUUCUAUCAGCAAAUGAAGCUGCAAAAACAAUUGUCGUAUCUACAAUACCAUGAAAAGCUCGCUAAUUAAUGGAGGAGAGAGCUGCAGACGUUCAUUAUUUCUUGUAUCCAAACCUUGCAUUUGUAUUCUCUCUGUAUAGGACAUUUUUGUAGAUAGAUGAGGUAUUCCAUUCAAAAAAUGCAAAAUAAAAAUGUAUCAAAGUUCGAG
rnacentral:misc_RNA from 1 species